ensembl:lncRNA
CAGGAGUGAGCUGAUACACAGUGGGAGCAGUGUUGGGAUUGUAAGUGUGAAGCUGUGUAGGAGAAAUGAGGCUAUUGCUGGCUGUCAGUCUCAUUCUCCUCUUCCUAUGGCUUCACAAGACUCAGACAUCUAGUGUCACCUUGCACAUGAAUGCUCGUGAGGCAGUAUCGAUGAGUGAGGCAGCAGUAUCUCUCCUCUUAUCGCCUCUGUCUCUGUACUCCUGGAUGACCUCCACGUUGCUCAGGUUCCUUCUGUCCGUCCCAGCUCUCGUCUUCAGCUCCUGGUAUCACUCCUUGCUGCUGAUCCUGGCUGGGCCUUGGUGUGUUGCCACUGUCUGCUUCUCUCUGCUGGUGACCGGUCUCCAUGUUUCUCUCUACCUACUUCACCUCGGGCUGGUGGCUGGGGCGGUAGCCAUUUUGGCUGUCAGGCAACACAAGAUGGCUGACGGUGACACCCCCAGGGAGAAAGUAUUAAGCCUACAGAAGAGCGUAGAAGGGCAGCAAACCAAAAGCAGGCUACUAAUUGGGGGAAGGACGACAGAGAUCGUCGAGAGGAAGAGGACGAGGAGAGUUAUCCUGUUUUGUAAGAAGAGAGUGGGGAAGCCAUUUAUCAAAUGUUUGUUUGAAGGAGGAAAAUUAGCUUGGCAGACGCAGGCGAGGAAGUGCUAGUUGGA